GUGGACUAGUGCAAGAUUGCUCAAUGGGUUCUGAUAGGUUAUUAGACACCCUCAGAAUGGAGAGGGUGAGGACGAUUUUUACACAUACAUAUCCUUAUCCGCAUGAGCAUUCACGUCAUGCUAUCAUUGCCGUGGUUGUGGGUUGCCUCUUUUUCAUCUCUUCAGAUAACAUGCAUACUCUCGUGGAAAAGUUGGACAAGAAUGUUAAGUGGUGGUCUAUGUAUGCCUGCCUACUUGGUUUCUUCUAUUUCUUUUCUUCACCAUUUUUAGGGAAGACUAUCAAACCCAGC
rnacentral:misc_RNA from 1 species